GACGAACCGUGCAAACGUUGUUCGGAUUCACUGGGCUUAAAGGGCGCGUAGGCGGGCCAUCAAGUCAGGGGUGAAAUCUUUCGGCUCAACCGGAAAAGUGCCUUUGAUACUGGUGGUCUCGAGGGAGGUAGGGGCAUGCGGAACUUCCGGUGGAGCGGUGAAAUGCGUAGAUAUCGGAAGGAACGCCGGUGGCGAAAGCGGCGUGCUGGACCUCUUCUGACGCUGAGGCGCGAAAGCGUGGGGAGCAAACAGG
rnacentral:rRNA from 1 species